rnacentral:tRNA from 1 species
GUUUUAUAGUUUAAACAAAACAUUAAAUUGCAAAUUUAAAGAUAGAAUUAUAUUCUUAAAACUUA